GUGCUUACUUGGGCAGCACAGAUACUAAAAUUGGAACAAUACAGAGAUUAGUAUGGCCCCUGUGCAAAGACAUGCAAAUUUGUGAAGCAUUUCAUAUUUUU
rnacentral:snRNA from 1 species